GCCAUCACUGUUCUAGGUGCUUUACAAAUAGUAUCUCAAAGGGAAAAAAGUGUGAAAAAUGCCCUAGAGAGUAGAAGGUAAUUCAAAGGGAGACUCACAGAUGCAGAAUAGUUUUGAAGCUAAAAUAUUGAAUUUAUUAUUUUCUUUAAAACAAAAAAAUACCAACAGAGAUUCAUGGUUCAUUUAUAAUCUUCUUCUCAUCUUUAUAUGUGAGAAUAUUUGUUUAUUGACAUUUGUCAAGUUCAUAAUAAGAUUUAUAAACAAUAAUGACCACAGUACAAUAUUAUAGUCAGUGGUUAAAGACAGAGUAUGGAGCUUAGCUUUUGGACUCAAGAGAGGCAGAGUUGACAUUCUGUUGUGAAAGGAAAAACAUUAUAUUCUUGGUUAGAUGGAAAGACAUUUAACAGAGGUGCUUAUAAAUACAGCCAGCCUCUUUUUCUUUUCUCCCCAAGAAAGAAGGUUGAAAUCUCUCCAUUCUUAUACUGUUGAUGAUAUGAAACCCCUAAAUUCUAUAACGGAUAACAUGGAGGAGAAAAUGUCAGCUGGAAAAAUACUUAAGUUAGGUGUUACCAGAUGUCUGCCCCUUUCUAUUAAAGAAGGCUCCUCUAUGUUCAUUAAUGGGGCCCUUGUGUGUAGAUUUCCUCCAGAAAAAGAAAUCUUGAAGAAAACCUACCUCAACCAUUUAAUUUUACAUACAAAGAGAUCUUACUGUUCAGAGAAGGUCUUUAUCUGCUUCUUCUCCCUUUUCCAGUCUCCAUCAAUUGCCAUGCCUGCCGUCAGGUAGGUACCAUUCACUUACAGAAGUUGCUUGAAUAGCAAAUAUUGUAGAUCCAGAAGACCUGAUGAAAUUGUCCACUUAACUAGCCUUAUUGCUUUCAAGGAAUUUAUUUUAUCAGUAACCUAAUUUUCUCAUCUAUCAAACAGAGAUAAUAACAUUUGCUCUUCUUAUUUCACAGGAUGGGGAUGGGAGUGAGGAAUACAGCUCAUAUACCCUGAAUGUAUAAAACCAUCCAUCCUACACUCCAAGCCCUUCAUGUAGGAAAAGUAUCCAGCUGUAUCUUUAUGCUUAGAUAAAAGCCAUUCCCUGGCCAUUUUGCUAUCUAGAAUUCUUGUCCAUCUUGGAUAUUAGAACAUGGGUCCCUAUGCCUGCCUAUUCUGACUUAGAAUUCUUUUGUGUCUUACAGUUUGGCUUGAUAUACUUCAUUCAGAUCAUAACUUCUUGCCUAGGUUUCAUAGUAGUCUUCCAAUUCCUUUUUAUUCAAAGGGGUUGUCUGGCUAUGACUGAUAGCUAUUCAGUUUGAUGUUCUUUCCUAGUUUAUUUGCUCCUUGGAUAUUCUAGAUUUACCUCUCAGGAUCAGGCUCAAACUGAAGGGAAAAGCAAGGAAUGAGAGAGUUUUUGCCCAUUUGUAAAGAAUGUAAACUAUUUGAGGGUAGGUUCUGUUCUCACUUUCCUUUUUUUCAUCAGCAUUUAAUCUAGUUCCUGGCACCCAGUAAGUAUUUAAUUAAUAUUUGUAGCCUUGAAUUGUAAAUGGUGAGAGAGAUUUGCUUUUCUAAAAGAAGAAUAAAGAACCAUCUCCUUCUACCA
rnacentral:lncRNA from 1 species